AACGCACAUUGCGCCUACUGGUAUUCCGGUAGGCAUGUCUGUUUGAGCGUCAGCAAACACCCCUCAGCGUGUGGUUUCUUUGCGAAGCCCCCGCUGGUCUUGGGCUCUGGAUGUCUGGCCGGUAGAGGGCAACCUCCGCCAGCCCGCGCCUGCCCUAAACUUGCUGCACGACCGCUAGCUUCCGCUGGGUCAAUGGAGUGGUGUCACAAUCUUCCAGAAGACUUUCCGUGGCUGCCGGUGGCGUUAAACCUAAGAGGACCCGCGAGGGAACUCAGAGUUUUGACCUCAGAUCAGAUAAGGAUACCCGCUGAACUUAA
rnacentral:misc_RNA from 1 species